UGUCAAUGAUGAGCCUAUCCCGAACCUGAUCUUGCUGAUGAAAAAAUCAUACGGAUCUGGCUUCUGAGAU